rnacentral:rRNA from 1 species
GAUGAACGCUGGCGGCGUGCCUAAUACAUGCAAGUCGAGCGAACAGAUGAGGAGCUUGCUCCUCUGACGUUAGCGGCGGACGGGUGAGUAACACGUGGAUAACCUACCUAUAAGACUGGGAUAACUUCGGGAAACCGGAGCUAAUACCGGAUAAUAUAUUGAACCGCAUGGUUCAAUAGUGAAAGACGGUUUUGCUGUCACUUAUAGAUGGAUCCGCGCCGCAUUAGCUAGUUGGUAAGGUAACGGCUUACCAAGGCAACGAGGCGUAGCCGACCUGAGAGGGUGGUCGGCCACACUGGAACUGGGACACGGUCCAGACUCCUACGGGAGGCAGCAGUAGGGAAUCUUCCGCAAUGGGCGAAAGCCUGACGGAGCAACGCCGCGUGAGUGAUGAAGGUCUUCGGAUCGUAAAACUCUGUUAUUAGGGAAGAACAAAUGUGUAAGUAACUAUGCACGUCUUGACGGUACCUAAUCAGAAAGCCACGGCUAACUACGUG